AUGCAAGGCUGGACGUCAGCAGCUUCCAGAAUUAGGAUGUUAAGAGUUCGGCGACAGAGGCCGGGAACAGCCUCUGCGCCGGGGCCAGGGAGGUGGAGGUCAGAGAGGGGUAAGGCCUGCACCUCGAGCCCAGAGCCCUGGCGGCUGCUGUCGCUGCGGGAGGAGCGGGAGCCGCCGGCCCCGGGCCUUCCCUCGCCUGCGGGAGCCGCUGGUGGCGCGGGCCUCGUGGCUCUGGGGUCGGCCGAGGGGUGUGGGGAAGGGACAGCCACGCACCCCCUUGUCCCGUCUUGUCCCAUCUUCCUUCUGUCCCAGCCUCACAGCUGCCCCAGCCUCAGUCCGGCAGCUGCCCCUCGUCACGGUCCCCAUCCUAGACGCCCAGACGCGGGGACACGGCGCCCCUCACCCUCAGCUGGACACUUGGUUUUGCCCAACACACACACGCACACGCACACACGCACACACGCCCUUGUGCACACACACACACACGUGCGCACACACCCAGCUGCCCCCCACCUAUGUGCCUACACAACCGUGCGCACAAUGCACACCCAUGCUCACACCUAUCUGCACGCGCACGCAUGCACGCCCACACAUGUGCGCACACGCGCAUCAGACCUUGCCCGACGACCCCGCCCUUGCUGUCCCCAGGGCUGCCCAGAGGGGUGCGGGGAGGAGAGAGGGUUUGUCUCCCUUCCGUGGGACCUGCCAGCUCCCAGCCGAGGAGAGGCAGACACCGCUGCCACGCUGGACAGAUGGGUCUGGAGCCCUGCUGUGUGUCGGGGGCCACCCCCCGGACACCUGCGGCCUGUGUGUGGGGGGGGCGGCUGCGUGACCUCUGCCCCCAGCCUGGUGAGGCCUCUGCCCGGGCCCGGGGCCUGGCUGCAGCAACCACGGUGCCCACCCUCUCCCUCCCAUCCCCACGGACGUGCAGCCCCCUCUGGUCUGAGAGCGGAAGCCUUUGCCUUCCAGGGUCACCCUGACCCGUCUGAAGAGGCACGAGGACUCUGCCAGCCGCACGCGAGCAGGAGGGCAGGCUGCAGGUCGCGGGCACAGCAGGACCAGAGCACCUCCGGGGGGCGUUCGAAAGGUUGCCCCUUCCUGCCGCUGGCCAGGACCCCAGUGCUGCGCCCUGGAUGGUGCACAGCUUAUGUCCUGCCUUCUGCCUCCCACUGUCCUUCCCUCGUGCAGGGUGGGUGGGGAGGGGGCUCACGGGCCCAGGGGUCCCCUCUGAGGGCUAGGCCUGUGUCCUCGUGUGACGGCUGGGACGCUCCAGGGGCAGGACUGAGUCAGCGCCCGCCAGGCACUCAGACCAGCACUUGGGGGGCCCCUCCCAUCCCUGGGGGCCAGGGGUGGCGCGGCCGGGCCUCCCCCUUCACGUCCUCAUCUGUGGGACUGUGA
rnacentral:lncRNA from 1 species